rnacentral:piRNA from 1 species
UGCAGGUCAGAAGCAAUCAGUGCUGC